rnacentral:rRNA from 1 species
GGUGAGUAAUGCAUCGGAACGUACCUUUCAGUGGGGGAUAACGUAGCGAAAGUUACGCUAAUACCGCAUAUUCUGUGAGCAGGAAAGCAGGGGAUCGCAAGACCUUGCGCUGAUGGAGCGGCCGAUGUCAGAUUAGCUAGUUGGUGGGGUAAAGGCUCACCAAGGCGACGAUCUGUAGCGGGUCUUAGAGGAUGAUCCGCCACACUGGAACUGAGACACGGUCCAGACUCCUACGGGAGGCAGCAGUGGGGAAUUUUGGACAAUGGGCGCAAGCCUGAUCCAGCCAUGCCGCGUGAGUGAAGAAGGCCUUCGGGUUGUAAAGCUCUUUCGGCCGGGAAAAAAUCGCUUGGGUUAAUACCCUGAGUGGAUGAUGGUACCGGAAUAAGAAGCACCGGCUAACUACGUGCCAGCAGCCGCGGUAAUACGUAGGGUGCGAGCGUUAAUCGGAAUUACUGGGCGUAAAGCGUGCGCAGGCGGUUUUGUAAGACAGGCGUGAAAUCCCCGGGCUCAACCUGGGAACUGCGUUUGUGACUGCAAGGCUAGAGUAUGGCAGAGGGGGGUGGAAUUCCACGUGUAGCAGUGAAAUGCGUAGAGAUGUGGAGGAACACCAGUGGCGAAGGCAGCCCCCUGGGCCAAUACUGACGCUCGUGCACGAAAGCGUGGGGAGCAAACAGGAUUAGAUACCCUGGUAGUCCACGCCCUAAACGAUGUCAACUAGGUGUUGGGUGGGUAAAACCAUUUGGUACCGUAGCUAACGCGUGAAGUUGACCGCCUGGGGAGUACGGCCGCAAGGUUAAAACUCAAAGGAAUUGACGGGGACCCGCACAAGCGGUGGAUGAUGUGGAUUAAUUCGAUGCAACGCGAAGAACGUUACCUACCCUUGACAUGCCAGGAACUUGCCAGAGAUGGCUUGGUGCCCGAAAGGGAGCCUGGACACAGGUGCUGCAUGGCUGUCGUCAGCUCGUGUCGUGAGAUGUUGGGUUAAGUCCCGCAACGAGCGCAACCCUUGUCGUUAAUUGCCAUCAUUUAGUUGGGCACUUUAACGAGACUGCCGGUGACAAACCGGAGGAAGGUGGGGAUGACGUCAAGUCCUCAUGGCCCUUAUGGGUAGGGCUUCACACGUCAUACAAUGGUCGGUACAAAGGGUUGCCAAGCCGCGAGGCGGAGCCAAUCCCAGAAAGCCGAUCGUAGUCCGGAUCGCAGGCUGCAACUCGCCUGCGUGAAGUCGGAAUCGCUAGUAAUCGUGGAUCAGCAUGUCACGGUGAAUACGUUCCCGGGUCUUGUACACACCGCCCGUCACACCAUGGGAGCGGGUUCCGCCAGAAGUAGGUAGCCUAACCGCAAGGGGGGCGCUUACCACGGCGGGGUUCGUGACUGGGGUGAAGUCGUAACAAGGUA